AUGUAUUGUUAAUUUGUUUUCAAUUCUUAUCAAUAAUUAUGCUUGUUGUUCUGUACCGUUACUAUUCAUAGUUACGUUGUUAACAUCAAGGUUUAUCAAUCAGAUCAUACUCUACGUAGUGAUCAGUGAUAUGUCAAACAUUUCUAUUGAUCUGACAGUUUGAUGCCAUUAACUCUAGAACGACAAGCCAAAUAAUUUCAUAAUGAACCCAAAACCAACAAACAACAAUGCACCUGCUGAAAUGUCUAGCUGAUGUAAUUUCCCGAUUAAAUUUCAAAUUAUAGGCAAAUGAGGACAAAAGAUACCAGAGGGAGAGUCAAACUCAUAGAUUGUAAAAUAAACUAUUGUCUCAUUGGCAAUCAUACCACAUCUUCUUUUUUUAUAUUGACAACACCAUGGCUAAAGACGCAUGCCAUUUGUAUAGCGGAAUUU
rnacentral:lncRNA from 1 species